GUCGCGGCCCGGGAGCCUCCCGGCGUCUCGGCCGCGCGCAGGUGCUCGAGGCUGCCCGGCGCGGGGCGCGCGCUGCUGGGACGGCGCCCGCAGCCUCCCGAGAACCGCUCCCGCCUGGUCUUCUCCCCAAGGGCGUGCCUGCCAAUUCACUGCAGUGACAUAGAAACUGCAGCGAAACCGGCUCACUGACGGGCCCCCCGCAAUCGGGGCAAGAGGAACCCCCAGAUGAGAAACGUUCCCGCCUGUCGCGAAGGCGCCACCUGGUGGGGACCGAAGGUUACCGAUGUGAAUGAAAACGGGUGGAAAGGGGGCCUGAACGCUUUUUAAGAUAGAAGUCAACAGAACUACUGUCUGAGAAAACCGGGAAAUUGGGAUCAAGCUUUUCUUUGAGCCAACCUAACUGCACCUGUGAGUUUUCUCCUGCUAGAAUCUAAUUGCUUUGUUCAGAAUCACUUGUUCAAAAAUAAUAGGCUGGCCUAUCAGAAAAUGUCCCCCUGCUCUGCGGCAGGUGGUCAAACAGCUCGCUACAGCUGAUACUCUUGAUGCAAAUGGCAGCAUGUGACAUCUGUGGGCGUCCUUCCUCCCAACCCUUAAACACAGCCCAGCUGUGAGAAAAAUACCCAAGUCUGAAUGGGGGACAUACUGCAAACAUCUGCCGAAUGAUCAAGCGGUACUCUGCAGAACCAUCCAGAUCGACAGACAGAGAAACUGCCGGAAGCAGAAUGGCAGGACACAGACGGACGAGCCUGUCAUGUGGAACUCUGAAUAGGACCCAACUGGAAAACGACCCGUCAGGCCAAAUGGAAGGACACUAGAAUAAUUUUUGGAUACAGAAGAGCCUGGCAAGCUACCCGUGGCGUAUUCGAUAUGCCAAAACAAUAAGUAUCUCAAUGAGAGACGUUACUGGUGCCCGCUCUAACAAAUCGAUGAACAACGGGAUGACAGUGACAGUGACAGAACAGUAAUGUAUAUCUGAACUAAUGUA